UGAGCGGCGGACGGGUGAGUAACACGUGGGCAACCUGCCUGUAAGACUGGGAUAACCCCGGGAAACCGGGGCUAAUACCGGAUAAUACUUUCUUUUGCAUAAAGGAAAGUUGAAAGGCGGCUUCGGCUGUCACUUACAGAUGGGCCCGCGGCGCAUUAGCUAGUUGGUGAGGUAACGGCUCACCAAGGCGACGAUGCGUAGCCGACCUGAGAGGGUGAUCGGCCACACUGGGACUGAGACACGGCCCAGACUCCUACGGGAGGCAGCAGUAGGGAAUCUUCCGCAAUGGACGAAAGUCUGACGGAGCAACGCCGCGUGAGUGAUGAAGGUUUUCGGAUCGUAAAACUCUGUUGUUAGGGAAGAACAAGUUGGGUAGUAACUGACCCAACCUUGACGGUACCUAACCAGAAAGCCACGGCUAACUACGUGCCAGCAGCCGCGGUAAUACGUAGGUGGCAAGCGUUGUCCGGAAUUAUUGGGCGUAAAGCGCUCGCAGGCGG
rnacentral:rRNA from 1 species